rnacentral:rRNA from 1 species
AUUGAACGCUGGCGGCAUGCUUUACACAUGCAAGUCGAACGGCAGCGCGGGGCAACCUGGCGGCGAGUGGCGAACGGGUGAGUAAUACAUCGGAACGUACCCAGAAGUGGGGGAUAACGUAGCGCAAGUUACGCUAAUACCGCAUACGUUCUACGUAAGAAAGUGGGGGACCUUCGGGCCUCAUGCUUUUGGAGCGGCCGAUGUCUGAUUAGCUAGUUGGUGAGGUAAGGGCUCACCAAGGCGACGAUCAGUAGCUGGUCUGAGAGGACGACCAGCCACACUGGGACUGAGACACGGCCCAGACUCCUACGGGAGGCAGCAGUGGGGAAUUUUGGACAAUGGGCGCAAGCCUGAUCCAGCAAUGCCGCGUGAGUGAAGAAGGCCUUCGGGUUGUAAAGCUCUUUUGUCAGGGAAGAAACGGCUGAGGUUAAUACCUUUGGCUAAUGACGGUACCUGAAGAAUAAGCACCGGCUAACUACGUGCCAGCAGCCGCCGUAAAAC